rnacentral:snRNA from 1 species
AUUUCUACUGCUGAAAUAAGCACUAAAAUUGAACCAUAAAGAUUAGCAUAGCCCUACACAAGGGGGAUGUGACAAUUCCUGAGAUGAUCCGUUCUUUU